GGGUGACACAGUGACAGAGUUAGGGAGGGAGUCACAGUGACAGAGUAGGGAGGGAGUGACUAGUGACAGAGAGAGGGAUGGGGUGACUAGUGACAGUCACCCCCCCUCACUCUGUCACUAGUCACCCCUUCCCUCCCUCACUUUGCCACUAGUCAUCUCUUCCCUCCCUCACUCUGCCACUAGUCACCCAUUCCCUCACUCUGUCACUAGUCACCCCUAUCUCCCUCCCUCUGUCACUAGUCACCCACUCCCUCACUCUGUCACCAGUCACACC